rnacentral:rRNA from 1 species
GAUCAGCCACACUGGAACUGAGACACGGUCCAGACUCCUACGGGAGGCAGCAGUGGGGAAUAUUGCGCAAUGGGCGAAAGCCUGACGCAGCCAUGCCGCGUGUGAAGAAGGCCUUAGGGUUGUAAAGCACUUUCAAUUGGGAAGAAAGGUUGCGUGUUAAUAGCACGUAGCUGUGACGUUACCUUUAGAAGAAGCACCGGCUAACUCCGUGCCAGCAGCCGCGGUAAUACGGAGGGUGCGAGCGUUAAUCGGAAUUACUGGGCGUAAAGCGCGCGUAGGCGGUUUGUUAAGUCGGAUGUGAAAGCCCCGGGCUCAACCUGGGAAUUGCAUUCGAUACUGGCCGACUAGAGUACGAGAGAGGGAGGUAGAAUUCCACGUGUAGCGGUGAAAUGCGUAGAUAUGUGGAGGAAUACCGGUGGCGAAGGCGGCCUCCUGGCUCGAUACUGACGCUGAGGUGCGAAAGCGUGGGUAGCAAACAGGAUUAGAUACCCUGGUAGUCCACGCCGUAAACGAUGUCUACUAGCCGUUGGGAGACUUGAUUUCUUAGUGGCGCAGCUAACGCACUAAGUAGACCGCCUGGGGAGUACGGCCGCAAGGUUAAAACUCAAAUGAAUUGACGGGGGCCCGCACAAGCGGUGGAGCAUGUGGUUUAAUUCGAUGCAACGCGAAGAACCUUACCAGGUCUGGACAUCCUGAGAACUUUCUAGAGAUAGAUUGGUGCCUUCGGGAACUCAGAGACAGGUGCUGCAUGGCUGUCGUCAGCUCGUGUCAUGAGAUGUUGGGUUAAGUCCCGUAACGAGCGCAACCCUUGUCCUUAUUUGCCAGCACGUAAUGGUGGGAACUCUAAGGAGACUGCCGGUGACAAACCGGAGGAAGGUGGGGACGACGUCAAGUCAUCAUGGCCCUUACGACCUGGGCUACACACGUGCUACAAUGGAACGCACAGAGGGUUGCAACCCCGCGAGGGUGAGCUAAUCCCACAAAACGUUUCGUAGUCCGGAUCGGAGUCUGCAACUCGACUCCGUGAAGUCGGAAUCGCUAGUAAUCGCGGAUCAGAAUGCCGCGGUGAAUACGUUCCCGGGCCUUGUACACACCGCCCGUCACACCAUGGGAGUGGGUUGCUCCAGAAGUGGUUAGCCUAACCUUCGGGAGGGCGAUCACCACGGAGUGAUUCAUGACUGGGGUGAAGUCGUAACAAGGUA